rnacentral:rRNA from 1 species
GAUGAACGCUGGCGGCGUGCCUAAUACAUGCAAGUCGAGCGAACAGAUGAGGAGCUUGCUCCUCUGACGUUAGCGGCGGACGGGUGAGUAACACGUGGAUAACCUACCUAUAAGACUGGGAUAACUUCGGGAAACCGGAGCUAAUACCGGAUAAUAUAUUGAACCGCAUGGUUCAAUAGUGAAAGACGGUUUUGCUGUCACUUAUAGAUGGAUCCGCGCCGCAUUAGCUAGUUGGUAAGGUAACGGCUUACCAAGGCGACGAUGCGUAGCCGACCUGAGAGGGUGAUCGGCCACACUGGAACUGAGACACGGUCCAGACUCCUACGGGAGGCAGCAGUAGGGAAUGUUCCGCAAUGGGCGAAAGCCUGACGGAGCAACGCCGCGUGAGUGAUGAAGGUCUUCGGAUCGUAAAACUCUGUUAUUAGGGAAGAACAAAUGUGUAAGUAACUAUGCACGUCUUGACGGUACCUAAUCAGAAAGCCACGGCUAACUACGUG